AUAUUGAGAAUGAAGAUAUCACCAGAAAAGAAAAUUUAAUGGACAAGAAACAUCUUUAUGAAAUUUCCACAUUCAUUUAACUUUGGAACAAAGAGAAAAUGAAUUCAGAAAAUAAAAAACGAGAAGAAAAAUACUUUUGAAGAAGACAACGGAGAUCUUUUUGAAGGACAAAAAUAAUUUAAAUUUAAUUUAAUUUAAUUUAAAAAAAUAAAAAGAAUUUAUACCACA